rnacentral:rRNA from 2 species
UUCCGGUUGAUCCUGCCGGACCUGACUGCUAUCGGAUUGAUACUAAGCCAUGCGAGUCAUUGUAGCAAUACAAGGCAGACGGCUCAGUAACGCGUAGUCAACCUAACCUAUGGACGGGAAUAACCUCGGGAAACUGAGAAUAAUGCCCGAUAGAACACUAUAUCUGGAAUGGUUUGUGUUCCAAAUGAUUUAUCGCCGUAGGAUGGGACUGCGGCCUAUCAGUUUGUUGGUGAGGUAAUGGCCCACCAAGACUAUUACAGGUACGGGCUCUGAGAGGAGUAGCCCGGAGAUGGGUACUGAGACACGGACCCAGGCCCUAUGGGGCGCAGCAGGCGAGAAAACUUUGCAAUGUGCGAAAGCACGACAAGGUUAAUCCGAGUGGUUUGUGCUAAACGAACCUUUUGUCGGUCCUAGAAACACCGAUGAAUAAGGGGUGGGCAAGUUCUGGUGUCAGCCGCCGCGGUAAAACCAGCACCUCAAGUGGUCAGGAUGAUUAUUGGGCCUAAAGCAUCCGUAGCCGGCGCUAUAAGUUUUCGGUUAAAUCUGUACGCUCAACGUACAGGCUGCCGGGAAUACUGUAGCGCUAGGGAGUGGGAGAGGUAGACGGUACUCGGUAGGAAGGGGUAAAAUCCUUUGAUCUAUUGAUGACCACCUGUGGCGAAGGCGGUCUACCAGAACACGUCCGACGGUGAGGGAUGAAAGCUGGGGGAGCAAACCGGAUUAGAUACCCGGGUAGUCCCAGCUGUAAACUAUGCAAACUCAGUGAUGCAUUGGCUUGUGGCCAAUGCAGUGCUGCAGGGAAGCCGUUAAGUUUGCCGCCUGGGAAGUACGUACGCAAGUAUGAAACUUAAAGGAAUUGGCGGGGGAGCACCACAAGGGGUGAAGCCUGCGGUUCAAUUGGAGUCAACGCCGGG